rnacentral:misc_RNA from 1 species
UUUCCGUAGGUGAACCUGCGGAAGGAUCAUUAUUGAAUAACCCAGGUGCGAGGGCUGUCGCUGACCCGAAAGGUCGUGCACGCCCUAGUGCCCCCACACACAUCCAUCUCACCCCUAUGUGCACCACCGCGUGGGUCCCCCUUUGGCUUGUUCGGAGGGGGGCUUACGUUUUCACACAAAAUUUGUAUGAAGUGUAUAAUGUAUUUUUUGUUUUUGCGAUCACGCAAUCAAUACAACUUUCAACAACGGAUCUCUUGGCUCUC